rnacentral:rRNA from 1 species
GAUGAACGCUAGCUACAGGCUUAACACAUGCAAGUCGAGGGGCAGCAUGAACUUAGCUUGCUAAGUUUGAUGGCGACCGGCGCACGGGUGAGUAACACGUAUCCAACCUGCCGAUGACUCGGGGAUAGCCUUUCGAAAGAAAGAUUAAUACCCGAUGGCAUAGUUCUUCCGCAUGGUAGAACUAUUAACGAAUUUCGGUCAUCGAUGGGGAUGCGUUCCAUUAGGUUGUUGGCGGGGUAACGGCCCACCAAGCCUUCGAUGGAUAGGGGUUCUGAGAGGAAGGUCCCCCACAUUGGAACUGAGACACGGUCCAAACUCCUACGGGAGGCAGCAGUGAGGAAUAUUGGUCAAUGGACGAGAGUCUGAACCAGCCAAGUAGCGUGAAGGAUGACUGCCCUAUGGGUUGUAAACUUCUUUUAUACGGGAAUAAAGUGAGGCACGUGUGCCUUUUUGUAUGUACCGUAUGAAUAAGGAUCGGCUAACUCCGU